UCUACGAAGUUCGAUUAAAAUCGAUCAAAUAUACCUACUCGAGGAGGAUGUCUCGUAAUACUCGGGCGCGUGGGUCAGUGAUUAACCUUGAUUAACCCUCUUGAUUCGUAAUCGUGUCAAAGCUCGACGCAUAAUUGCCAAAAUGUUACGUCGAGUUCUUUUUUUUUUAUACAAAAAAUAAUUAUAUACUUAAUCUCAACUGGAUUGACUAGAUUAUAUUGGACUAAUCUAGAUGUUAUUCAAGGGGUCUCAUUUAAUUGGAUCAUAAUAUCUAACAAUAAGAUAAAAGUAUCAAGCCUUCAAUCACGAACCCAAAAAUAUACUUGGUUACCACUUCAUUGAUUGUAAAAAUUCCAUAAGCAAAUAAUUGUACAACAAUCAAAAAUUUGGUCCAAAGAACUGUUCGUUAUCAAAAGGCUACUGUGAAAAAGUGGCGGGACAACGCUUUGAGUCGUUAAAGAAGACGAGCUAUAUUAUAAACCUGAAGCUUAUUCAGAUGUACACAAUUAUGCAAUUGCUGUUAACAGUUCUUAAACGGAUUGCUUGAGGGGAACUGUUGGCCUUCUGUGAUUCUACGAAUAUCGCAACAAUUUUUCUAAUUAUUAUAUUUAAUACCUUUCAGAUAGAUGAUAAACAGGAUUUAUAACGAAACGUUAUCUAUAUCCGACGUAAAGAAAAUCUUUUAUUUUACGAAAA